AUGCUAGUACCGUUAAUUUCUUGUAUAAGCCCGCUGAUAGGGUGCGGGCGUUUCUACAGGCAGCCGUAAACUGUCACAGUCUACAAGAAGAAGCAGGGAGUUU
rnacentral:ncRNA from 1 species